AGAAGCUCGCGGCUGAUUAGCUUGUUGGUAAGGUAAUGGCUUACCAAGGCGACGAUCAGUAUCUGGUUUGAGAGGACGAUCAGACACACUGGAACUGAGACACGGUCCAGACUCCUACGGGAGGCAGCAGUGGGGAAUUUUCCGCAAUGGGCGAAAGCCUGACGGAGCAAUACCGCGUGAGGGAUGAAAGCCUGUGGGUUGUAAACCUCUUUUCUCAAGGAAGAAGUUCUGACGGUACUUGAGGAAUAAGCAUCGGCUAACUCUGUGCCAGCAGCCGCGGUAAUACAGAGGAUGCAAGCGUUAUCCGGAAUCACUGGGCAUAAAGCGUCUGUAGGUGGUU
rnacentral:rRNA from 1 species